rnacentral:lncRNA from 1 species
UUUUAGGUCGAAACUUUCUGGCGAUUGAAAUAUUGUUCACUUGUAAUCGCUGCCUUCAAAUUAUUCGUCUGCUCUUCAGGUCCUUCGACUGAAACAAAUGGAUUAGGGGAGUUUGGGGGUUUGGGAGUUUUGGGUCAGCAAUCAGAAUUUAGGAAUUUUCGCCUAUCAAAUGGAGUUGGGGAUUUAGGGGUUUGGACAUGGGAGUUCUUAAGAUCUUUGUAAAGGUCAGCAAUCAGAAUCUGGAAAUUUUCGUCUAUCAAAUGGAGUUGGGGAUUUAGGAGUUAGGACAUGGGAGUUCUUCAGAUCUUUGUAUUUGGAGUUUUUGGUUAGAAAAGAGUUGCAGAAGUUAGUGUCUCCGAUGAG